ensembl:rRNA 5S_rRNA 5S ribosomal RNA
AUCAGCAGCCAUAUCACCCUGCAACUCACAACUGGCAACCCACUGAAGCUAAGCAGGUGUGAGCCUGGUCAGUACCUGGAUGGAGACCUCCUGGGGAAAACUAAGGUUGCUGCUGGAA